rnacentral:rRNA from 1 species
UAAGCGACUAAGCGUACACGGUGGAUGCCCUGGCAGUCAGAGGCGAUGAAGGACGUGCUAAUCUGCGAUAAGCGUCGGUAAGGUGAUAUGAACCGUUAUAACCGGCGAUUUCCGAAUGGGGAAACCCAGUGUGUUUCGACACACUAUCAUUAACUGAAUCCAUAGGUUAAUGAGGCGAACCGGGGGAACUGAAACAUCUAAGUACCCCGAGGAAAAGAAAUCAACCGAGAUUCCCCCAGUAGCGGCGAGCGAACGGGGAGCAGCCCAGAGCCUGAAUCAGUGUGUGUGUUAGUGGAAGCGUCUGGAAAGGCGCGCGAUACAGGGUGACAGCCCCGUACACAAAAAUGCACAUGCUGUGAGCUCGAUGAGUAGGGCGGGACACGUGGUAUCCUGUCUGAAUAUGGGGGGACCAUCCUCCAAGGCUAAAUACUCCUGACUGACCGAUAGUGAACCAGUACCGUGAGGGAAAGGCGAAAAGAACCCCGGCGAGGGGAGUGAAAAAGAACCUGAAACCGUGUACGUACAAGCAGUGGGAGCACGCUUAGGCGUGUGACUGCGUACCUUUUGUAUAAUGGGUCAGCGACUUAUAUUCUGUAGCAAGGUUAACCGAAUAGGGGAGCCGAAGGGAAACCGAGUCUUAACUGGGCGUUAAGUUGCAGGGUAUAGACCCGAAACCCGGUGAUCUAGCCAUGGGCAGGUUGAAGGUUGGGUAACACUAACUGGAGGACCGAACCGACUAAUGUUGAAAAAUUAGCGGAUGACUUGUGGCUGGGGGUGAAAGGCCAAUCAAACCGGGAGAUAGCUGGUUCUCCCCGAAAGCUAUUUAGGUAGCGCCUCGUGAAUUCAUCUCCGGGGGUAGAGCACUGUUUCGGCAAGGGGGUCAUCCCGACUUACCAACCCGAUGCAAACUGCGAAUACCGGAGAAUGUUAUCACGGGAGACACACGGCGGGUGCUAACGUCCGUCGUGAAGAGGGAAACAACCCAGACCGCCAGCUAAGGUCCCAAAGUCAUGGUUAAGUGGGAAACGAUGUGGGAAGGCCCAGACAGCCAGGAUGUUGGCUUAGAAGCAGCCAUCAUUUAAAGAAAGCGUAAUAGCUCACUGGUCGAGUCGGCCUGCGCGGAAGAUGUAACGGGGCUAAACCAUGCACCGAAGCUGCGGCAGCGACGCUUAUGCGUUGUUGGGUAGGGGAGCGUUCUGUAAGCCUGUGAAGGUGUGCUGUGAGGCAUGCUGGAGGUAUCAGAAGUGCGAAUGCUGACAUAAGUAACGAUAAAGCGGGUGAAAAGCCCGCUCGCCGGAAGACCAAGGGUUCCUGUCCAACGUUAAUCGGGGCAGGGUGAGUCGACCCCUAAGGCGAGGCCGAAAGGCGUAGUCGAUGGGAAACAGGUUAAUAUUCCUGUACUUGGUGUUACUGCGAAGGGGGGACGGAGAAGGCUAUGUUGGCCGGGCGACGGUUGUCCCGGUUUAAGCGUGUAGGCUGGUUUUCCAGGCAAAUCCGGAAAAUCAAGGCUGAGGCGUGAUGACGAGGCACUACGGUGCUGAAGCAACAAAUGCCCUGCUUCCAGGAAAAGCCUCUAAGCAUCAGGUAACAUCAAAUCGUACCCCAAACCGACACAGGUGGUCAGGUAGAGAAUACCAAGGCGCUUGAGAGAACUCGGGUGAAGGAACUAGGCAAAAUGGUGCCGUAACUUCGGGAGAAGGCACGCUGAUAUGUAGGUGAAGUCCCUUGCGGAUGGAGCUGAAAUCAGUCGAAGAUACCAGCUGGCUGCAACUGUUUAUUAAAAACACAGCACUGUGCAAACACGAAAGUGGACGUAUACGGUGUGACGCCUGCCCGGUGCCGGAAGGUUAAUUGAUGGGGUUAGCGGUAACGCGAAGCUCUUGAUCGAAGCCCCGGUAAACGGCGGCCGUAACUAUAACGGUCCUAAGGUAGCGAAAUUCCUUGUCGGGUAAGUUCCGACCUGCACGAAUGGCGUAAUGAUGGCCAGGCUGUCUCCACCCGAGACUCAGUGAAAUUGAACUCGCUGUGAAGAUGCAGUGUACCCGCGGCAAGACGGAAAGACCCCGUGAACCUUUACUAUAGCUUGACACUGAACAUUGAGCCUUGAUGUGUAGGAUAGGUGGGAGGCUUUGAAGUGUGGACGCCAGUCUGCAUGGAGCCGACCUUGAAAUACCACCCUUUAAUGUUUGAUGUUCUAACGUUGACCCGUGAUCCGGGUUGCGGACAGUGUCUGGUGGGUAGUUUGACUGGGGCGGUCUCCUCCUAAAGAGUAACGGAGGAGCACGAAGGUUGGCUAAUCCUGGUCGGACAUCAGGAGGUUAGUGCAAUGGCAUAAGCCAGCUUGACUGCGAGCGUGACGGCGCGAGCAGGUGCGAAAGCAGGUCAUAGUGAUCCGGUGGUUCUGAAUGGAAGGGCCAUCGCUCAACGGAUAAAAGGUACUCCGGGGAUAACAGGCUGAUACCGCCCAAGAGUUCAUAUCGACGGCGGUGUUUGGCACCUCGAUGUCGGCUCAUCACAUCCUGGGGCUGAAGUAGGUCCCAAGGGUAUGGCUGUUCGCCAUUUAAAGUGGUACGCGAGCUGGGUUUAGAACGUCGUGAGACAGUUCGGUCCCUAUCUGCCGUGGGCGCUGGAGAAUUGAGGGGGGCUGCUCCUAGUACGAGAGGACCGGAGUGGACGCAUCACUGGUGUUCGGGUUGUCAUGCCAAUGGCACUGCCCGGUAGCUAAAUGCGGAAGAGAUAAGUGCUGAAAGCAUCUAAGCACGAAACUUGCCCCGAGAUGAGUUCUCCCUGACUCCUUGAGAGUCCUGAAGGAACGUUGAAGACGACGACGUUGAUAGGCCGGGUGUGUAAGCGCAGCGAUGCGUUGAGCUAACCGGUACUAAUGAACCGUGAGGCUUAACCU